ensembl:lncRNA
UCACAAUUUAGAUCAUUUAUUUUUAUGGUCAAAAUGUUUGUACAGUAGCAAAACCGUUUAGUGUAUCUCUACAACGGAAGAGUGCCUCAUUUUGCAGCUGCUCUGCCUUUCUUUAGUUGAGGCUUCAUGCAGAGUGGGUGCUUCAGAAACUUGGCAAACUGUUAGAUCAGCCAUGUGCUAGCCAGCAGUGCUUUCCCUGAUGUGUGAGUAUGGCGUGCCCACCACAAGAAGGCCUUGGGAAGCUCGUUCCAGGAUCACUCACUAGUAUAUCAGGUAAACCUGAGGGGAGAAAGAUUCUGCAGUUUCCCUUGAAUGGGAGAGCACACAGAUAUAAACGUACAAUUCAAGAGCCUCCUCAAACAAUGCUAUUAAUGUGCUGGUGGUGUUAUUUUUUUGUGUUAUUCAGGAAUGCUUCACUGAAUGUAAGGAAAACCAGCAAGUAAUGACAGUAUUUUAUACUGACAGAGGUGUAGGGUGGUCAGUGGAAUCUUCAGUAGCCUUCAUUGUGGUGUUGCCUGUGAAUAUUCAUUCACUGCAUCUGAGCCCAGUAAAAUAGUAAAUCUUAAGGAAAAAUAAUAUCGCUGCCUGCUUCCUCUAGUACUCUUCCACCAAAUUGCUAGGAGAGCAUGAGGAAAAGUACAGAAAAAAGAGAAAUUGUACGUGCAGAUCUCCUAUUAUAUCCACAGCAUGAGAUUUUGUGACCUAGGGCAGUAGCAUGGAGUUGAACUCAGGAGCUUUUCAGGAGGACCCAGAAUCUGACAGUGGACAUCUAGAACAGAGGACACCUUGGUGAGUACAAGUCUUUCGAUGUCUUUGGGGAUUUUCAGUGGCAAGAGAACAAACCAGAUGAACCAACAGCCAGUAUUUGGCUCACUGGGCUUUCUGUAGGUGUGAACACCACCUGUACCAGCAGCUAACGAUGGUGCCUCAUGCUGUUCACAAGAAGAAAGUGAGGUUUGGUGCCAUGAAUCCACCCACUGAGAAGAGUCCCACUACUACAGGAGGACUGUAGCAUAGGCAGAAGUACCAGUUUGGCCACAGGUUACUUCUCCCAUUGUAAAUUCACUCCUUGCUCAGGCUAUGCACGUGCACCAAAGCAGGUUCUGAAUUCUUUUUCAGUUUCCACUGAAUGUUUUUUUAUCCUCUCCGAGCUCUGUGAGAUUGGCAUUAUCCUGUAGCAGUGUCACAGCCUGCAAUCGUUUAAUGCCUCUUCUUGUGAGGCCAGGAUUCCACGCCCAAGUGCAUUUAGUAGGUCAGUACAGUAAUUUUAAAUGUCUUUCUUUCAGUCUUUUGCCAUCUUCAAUUAUACCUUUCCACCCUACUAUUUGUGUAAUUUGCUUCUGUCUGAAGUCUCUUUACUGUUGUUCUCUAUUGCACAGCGUGACAAAUUACCCAUCAAGCCGUAUCUUUUCAGCCCAGAAAUGCGCAGUAACACAGAGUCAUGGCAUUAUCACAUGUUGUGCACUUUAUUUCCUCACAGUUCAUUCAAGUGUGUCACUUUAUUUUCCUGCUUCCUUUUGUCAUCAUGAAGAUUAACCAUUUUUUUCUUCCUAAACUUUAGAAAGAAUUAGAAAUGCAUUACAUUGUAAGCCCAGAGCAACACCUAUACUAUCCCAUACAACCUGUCCUUGGCAAAAUUAUUCUCUGCAACUCUGAGCCUUGCAGAAGCUGGGGCUUUCAUCAUUAUUAUACAGCUGAAUAACCCUGGCCGUGGGCAAGAGAAUUAUUUGUAGCCCCUGGCCACCAAACAAAUUAAUUGUGAGACACCAUUCACUUUGACAGCGCACUCCAGCUCCUUCUGGGAGCUAUGAAACUCUCUGGGCCUCAUGUAUAUUGUGCCCAGGGUCCUUCUCUCCCUCCCUCUCUCUUUAAUUCAAGAUAAAUACGAGUAAUUGUAGAGCUUAUGCUGAGAUAUCUCCCAGGCAUUGCAAGGAUGUGUUCGAAAAAUCAAUUGUAUUGUUCACAUAGUCAGCAGGGCUGCAGCUGGUGUAUAAAAGGCAUCCUUAGAAACUGUGAUUUAAGAUGAUCUAGAUAAAGUUUGUUAUUAGAUUGUUUAAGGGCCCAGUAGGUCCUCCAACAUUAAUGUCUGAAGAGAGCCACAGAAGUAAAUUCAAACCUUUCCUCGAAAUGUACCUGAGAUGUGAGAUGGGAUUUGUUCAAGCAAAUAUGUCCAGUUCUCCUUUACAAUCCAUUUCAUAAUUUGUCAGUAUGAAUGCUAGGUGGGAAAAAUAGCACUUCUGUAAAACAGAGCAGAUGAUUAGGAAUUAACUAAACCUGUGGAGUUCAAUUUGGUUGGAGAAAACGUAAUUGAUGUUCAGAUUAACAAAAUGCUGACUGUUUGGUACCAUUGCAUUUUAUAAUUUUGGAAAAUGCUGAUGCAUAGGAAGGAAUAAGAGCAGAAUAUGAUAAACUGAAAUUGCUGUGGCGUUGAGGAUGCUAGGAGUCACUUGUAGUGCUAGUAGUCCCAUAACUUGAAAUAUGUCAGAUGCUGGGAGACCAAGCUUGGAUGUGCUGGAGGAGCUGAGCAUGAGCAAUAGGAGGUACACAUUAAGUUAGGCACCAAUCCCAAGUCUGGGCUCACCUAAUUUUCGGCACUAUUUCUGUCCUAUUUCACAACUAUACUGAGCCUUUCAUGUUGGCUGAUUAAAAAAAAAAAAAUCUUUUGUAUCACUUAACACACAAUGUAAUGCUAAUUCUUUUUUUCAAACAUCUUUACAGACACAAUGGGAACUUUAGUAUAUGCUAGUAAGAAAAAAUGCAUGACAUUUUUGUAAGAAGCCUGACUUUUAAAUGGAAAAAUAAAAUUUAUACAUUUUUGUAACUUCAUGUGAAAACUCUCAAAAUUGUUUUACGUGGACUAGAAGUUCUGACUGUUGCAGUUCAUUUACUUUGUAAUGUUCUCUAAUUAAUUUACUUUAGAGUGUCCUGCAGGAGCUGGUAAUAGAAAAUCCAUCUCCCCCUUAGAGAAAAUUGUUACUGCAGCUGAUAAACAGAAUUAUACAAGCUUUGUCAUACAAAUCACAUUAUAAAAGGUUCCAAAAAACUUGACAAUGUUGACAGUUGUUUUCAGCAAAUGGCUGCUUUACUGUAGCACUGUCAAUGUUGAUGUCCUUGUGCACAUGUAAAAGAGCAAUGUGAUUAAGGCAAGCUUGUCCAUGCUAGAUAUGAGCCAAGUUUUCAAUCUCCUCAUGGCACUGAAAGAUUGCUCAGCUGUUGCAGAUAAGGCAAGAAUAGCUAGCAGAUUUCUGCCAUUAAAAGAAAAAUAAAAUAAAUAAAAAAAAAUCCUUUACUUUGGGCAUGCAUGUAUAGGAAUUUGUAACAUCUGCUACUGACCUCAAGUUACAGAUAAGAAGAGCUCAUAUUUGUAACUCUAAUUGAUAUUACUCAGUUUAGAUGAUGUACUUCCAAGGAGAUUACUGAAGUAUCUUUGUAAACACAGAUUUAUCUAGACAGCAGUCUAAAGUAUGAUACACUUUUGUGAAGUGGUGAAUUAUCACCACUCUUCUCAUGCCACUUACCACUGCAGUUUACAUCCACC